UAACUGGUUUGAGAGGAUGAUCAGUCACACUGGAACUGAGACACGGUCCAGACUCCUACGGGAGGCAGCAGUGGGGAAUAUUGCACAAUGGACGAAAGUCUGAUGCAGCAACGCCGCGUGGAGGAUGACACAUUUCGGUGCGUAAACUCCUUUUAUAUAGGAAGAUAAUGACGGUACUAUAUGAAUAAGCACCGGCUAACUCCGUGCCAGCAGCCGCGGUAAUACGGAGGGUGCAAGCGUUAACCGGAAUUACUGGGCGUAAAGAGCGUGUAGGCGGGUAAAUAAGUUGGAAGUGAAAUCCUAUGGCUCAACCAUAGAACUGCUUCCAAAACUGUUAACCUAGAAUGUGGGAGAGGUAGAUGGAAUUUCUGGUGUAGGGGUAAAAUCCGUAGAUAUCAGAAGGAAUACCGAUUGCGAAGGCGAUCUACUGGAACACUAUUGACGCUGAGACGCGAAAGCGUGGGGAGCAAACAGGAUUAGAUACCCUGGUAGUCCACGCCCUAAACGAUGUACACUAGUUGUUGUGAGGCUAGACCUUGCAGUAAUGCAGUUAACACAUUAAGUGUACCGCCUGGGGAGUACGGUCGCAAGAUUAAAACUCAAAGGAAUAGACGGGGACCCGCACAAGCGGUGGAGCAUGUGGUUUAAUUCGACAUACGCGAAGAACCUUACCUGGUCUUGACAUAGAAAGAACUUUCCAGAGAUGGAUUGGUGCCUGCUUGCAGGAGCUUUCAUACAGGUGCUGCACGGCUGUCGUCAGCUCGUGUCGUGAGAUGUUGGGUUAAGUCCCGCAACGAGCGCAACCCUCGUCGUUAGUUGCUAACAGUUCGGCUGAGAACUCUAACGAGACUGCCUACGCAAGUAGGAGGAAGGUGAGGACGACGUCAAGUCAUCAUGGCCCUUACGACCAGGGCUACACACGUGCUACAAUGGGGUACACAAAGAGCAGCGAUACGGUGACGUGGAGCGAAUCUCAAAAAUGCCUCCCAGUUCGGAUGGUAGUCUGCAACUCGACUACUUGAAGUUGGAAUCGCUAGUAAUCGUAGAUCAGCUAUGCUACGGUGAAUACGUUCCCGGGUCUUGUACUCACCGCCCGUCACACCAUGGGAGUUGAAUUCAUUCGAAGCGGGGAUGCUAAAAUAGCUACCUUCCACAGUGGAUUUAGCGACUGGGGUGAAGUCGUAACAAGGUAACCGUAGGAGAACCUGCGGUUG
rnacentral:rRNA from 1 species